GAUGAACGCUGGCUACAGGCUUAACACAUGCAAGUCGAGGGGAAACGGCAUUGAGUGCUUGCACUGAAUGGACGUCGACCGGCGCACGGGUGAGUAACGCGUAUCCAACCUUCCCGUUACUGCGGGAUAACCUGCCGAAAGGCAGACUAAUACCGCAUGUUCUUCGAUGACGGCAUCAGAUUCGAAGCAAAGAUCCGUCGGUAACGGAGGGGGAUGCGUCUGAUUAGCUAGUUGGCGGGGCGACGGCCCACCAAGGCGACGAUCAGUAGGGGUUCUGAGAGGAAGGUCCCCCACAUUGGAACUGAGACACGGACCAAACUCCUACGGGACGCAGCAGUGAGGAAUAUUGGUCAAUGGGCGGGAGCCUGAACCAGCCAAGUAGAGUGCAGGAUGACGGCCCUACGGGUUGUAAACUGCUUUUAUGCGGGGAUAAAGUGAGGGACGCGUCCCUUUUUGCAGGUACCGCAUGAAUAAGGACCGGCUAAUUCCGUG
rnacentral:rRNA from 1 species